rfam:Asian citrus Psyllid, Diaphorina citri - Florida Strain, whole genome shotgun sequence.
ACCAGCGGCAAAAGCACGUUGAAUACAACAGUUUCCAGUGGAUCACUCAUGUUAAGCAGCGUUGUGCGUGGUUGGUAACAGGAUGGGUGACCACCUGGACAAUUCCGUGCUGAUGGCU